rnacentral:rRNA from 1 species
AACGAACGCUGGCGGCAUGCCUAACACAUGCAAGUCGAACGAGACCUUCGGGUCUAGUGGCGCACGGGUGCGUAACGCGUGGGAACCUGCCCUUAGGUUCGGAAUAACUCUCCGAAAGGGGUGCUAAUACCGGAUAAUGUCUUCGGACCAAAGAUUUAUCGCCUUUGGAUGGGCCCGCGUUGGAUUAGCUAGUUGGUAGGGUAAAAGCAUACCAAGGCGACGAUCCAUAGCUGGUCUGAGAGGAUGAUCAGCCACACUGGGACUGAGACACGGCCCAGACUCCUACGGGAGGCAGCAGUGGGGAAUAUUGGACAAUGGGCGAAAGCCUGAUCCAGCAAUGCCGCGUGAGUGAUGAAGGCCUUAGGGUUGUAAAGCUCUUUUACCCGGGAUGAUAAUGACAGUACCGGGAGAAUAAGCUCCGGCUAACUCCGUG